rnacentral:rRNA from 1 species
AAGAUAAGCCAUGCAGCUCAGAGUGAGGUUUUUGUCUCAAUCUGCGAAAGGCUCCGUAUAACUGUUAUAACCUACCGUGUUACACAAUACUAUGGAUAAUACCAGUAAAUCUGAUAAUAAUACAUUGGAAAAAGCUGUGAUCAGAGUAACUUUUGAUGAGAAUGAACGGGAUUUUUAUAGUGUAAAAAGCUAUUAAAACCACGUAAGUGCUCAGUAAAAUCAUGGUGAAAUGAUAGGGACUCUCAAUAUAAGUCUUAGACAUAUAUAAGUAGGACAAAAAUAAGUAAGAACCCAUCAUGAGGAAAUCCUAAACAUAUUUCUGUAGACGGUGGUGAUUAAAGAUCUUACUUAUUCCUAUUUAGUCACAUGGAAGGUUUGAGAGAUUCGGAUCCUGAUAUAUUACAAUGAUAUUCAUUCACGAUGGGUUUCAGUCCUAUCAACUAGAUGGUAGGGUAUUGGCCUACCAUGGUUUUUACGGGUACAGAGGAUUAGGGUUCGAUCCUGGAGAGGUAGCCUGAGAGAUAGCUACCACUUCUAAGGAAGGCAGCAGGCGCGCAACGUUCCCAAUGGCUGAAAGGCUGAGGACGUUAUGGAACAUAGCAAUACUUCACUGUUUAGUGAGGCAAUUGAAAUGGGGGAGGUUUAAAUCACCCACCGAGUAACAAUUGGAGGACAA